CAUUUCGUUCGGCUUCUUUACAGUGCUGCCUUGUUGCAUAUGGAUCAAGCAGCAUUGUACAGGGCUAUGAAGGAUCUG
rnacentral:pre_miRNA from 1 species